AUGAGUAUCCUAAGCUGGAACUACCGGGGUUUGGGGCAACCCCGGAAGGUUCAAGAGCUUGCGGACCUUGUUCAUGCCCAUCGCCCAGGAAUCGUUUUCCUGUCUGAAACACGGCAAUGCGAGGAAAAGGUGAAGACAAUAAAAUGGAGACUAGGUCUGAAGCACUGCCUUACUCAUGAUGGUAAGGGCAAAGGUGCGGGCAUUGCCCUAUACUGGGAUGAAUCAACAAAAAUAAAGUGUUUAUCGUAUGGCCCCCGUUAUUUUGAUGUUUUGGUGACUGAUGAUUCCUUUGGCCCUACGUGGCGUGCAACUUUUGUGUAUGGCAAACCAAGAGCGCAGGAUAGGCACCUUAUGUGGUCCUUGUUGAGAAGGAUCAAACCUAAUGCAAGUGAACCACGGAUGUUAACCGGGGACUAA
rnacentral:rRNA from 1 species